ACCCUCUCAGGAUGGCACUUGGAGGGUUUCCAGUGCUCUACCAUUUUUGGCUACAGGAGGGAGAGUCAAGCGGAGGCGUACACAUUCCAUUUCUAGCUUGGGCAGUGGCUAGCGAGUGGAAGGCAAUCUGCUACAAGU